GGGAAAGGCGAAAAGAACCCCGGCGAGGGGAGUGAAAAAGAACCUGAAACCGUGUACGUACAAGCAGUGGGAGCACGCUUAGGCGUGUGACUGCGUACCUUUUGUAUAAUGGGUCAGCGACUUAUAUUCUGUAGCAAGGUUAACCGAAUAGGGGAGCCGAAGGGAAACCGAGUCUUAACUGGGCGUUAAGUUGCAGGGUAUAGACCCGAAACCCGGUGAUCUAGCCAUGGGCAGGUUGAAGGUUGGGUAACACUAACUGGAGGACCGAACCGACUAAUGUUGAAAAAUUAGCGGAUGACUUGUGGCUGGGGGUGAAAGGCCAAUCAAACCGGGAGAUAGCUGGUUCUCCCCGAAAGCUAUUUAGGUAGCGCCUCGUGAAUUCAUCUCCGGGGGUAGAGCACUGUUUCGGCAAGGGGGUCAUCCCGACUUACCAACCCGAUGCAAACUGCGAAUACCGGAGAAUGUUAUCACGGGAGACACACGGCGGGUGCUAACGUCCGUCGUGAAGAGGGAAACAACCCAGACCGCCAGCUAAGGUCCCAAAGUCAUGGUUAAGUGGGAAACGAUGUGGGAAGGCCCAGACAGCCAGGAUGUUGGCUUAGAAGCAGCCAUCAUUUAAAGAAAGCGUAAUAGCUCACUGGUCGAGUCGGCCUGCGCGGAAGAUGUAACGGGGCUAAACCAUGCACCGAAGCUGCGGCAGCGACGCUUAUGCGUUGUUGGGUAGGGGAGCGUUCUGUAAGCCUGUGAAGGUGUGCUGUGAGGCAUGCUGGAGGUAUCAGAAGUGCGAAUGCUGACAUAAGUAACGAUAAAGCGGGUGAAAAGCCCGCUCGCCGGAAGACCAAGGGUUCCUGUCCAACGUUAAUCGGGGCAGGGUGAGUCGACCCCUAAGGCGAGGCCGAAAGGCGUAGU
rnacentral:rRNA from 1 species